rnacentral:rRNA from 1 species
UACGUAGGGUGCAAGCGUUAAUCGGAAUUACUGGGCGUAAAGCGUGCGUAGGCGGUGAUGUAAGACAGUUGUGAAAUCCCCGGGCUCAACCUGGGAACUGCAUCUGUGACUGCAUCGCUGGAGUGCGGCAGAGGGGGAUGGAAUUCCGCGUGUAGCAGUGAAAUGCGUAGAUAUGCGGAGGAACACCAGUGGCGAAGGCGGCGACCUGGGCCAAUAUUGACGCUGAGGUGCGAAAGCGUGGGGAGCAAACAGG